rnacentral:tRNA from 1 species
UCCCUGGUGGCUAAGGUGGUAAAGCAUCUGCUUACAAUUCGGGAGACCCAGGUUCAAUCCCUGGUUUGGGAA